CUCGCCGUAGCACAAUGGAUAGUGCACGCGCCUCCUAAGCGUGAGAUACAGGUUCGAUUCCUGGUCGGCGGGACCA
rnacentral:tRNA from 1 species